rnacentral:lncRNA from 1 species
UUUUUAAAUAUAAAUCCGCAUUUUUUUGGAUCAAAUAUAAAUCAUUCAAAAAUCAAGAACAAAGUAUUUCAUUUUGUACAAAAUUUGAUUGAAUCCCGUAACUCAAAUUCUCUGCGUCCGCCCUUAGCUCUAUGUUCAUUGGGAAUUUCUAGAGCAUUGGCCGAGAAGAAGAAUAGGGUAGGCCUGGUUAAGAGCCAACGCUUAAUCCAUCAUUUCCUUCACAUCAUUACUUGUAGGGUUACCAAACGCUAUAAAAUGUUUGGAUCCGGUCAUGAUGUCGCUUGAAUAACCUAGUUGCAUUCCUUUAUUCCUCAGCAUGGUGAGAUGGCUGAAUCUUGUUCAUUACGGACAGCAUCCCACUUGCUGAAAGAUACACGAUUGUUGACAAAAGCUUUAACAUAGUCAUUGGAGCCACUACCUAUUACAAUUGUACCCGCAAUUCUUGCCAUCGUAGCCGCCGCGAGAGGGGGUGCAUUGAUGGAUGUCAAAAGCAAGCUGUUCUAUUUGUUUUUUUUUGCUCUCCAAUAUUCUUGUGCAUCUCCACUUUAUCUGCUACAGCCUCCAAGAUUGCAUAAAGUUUUGCAAUACAAUAAAAGAAGAAGAAAAAUAAGCUAGGUUUUAUAGCUGUGGUCUGGGAGAAUAACUAAAAGUAUAUUAACCUACUUAUAUAAUUUUACUUAUGGCUUUGUAAGUAAAUAAGAAAAAAUUAAAAUUUGUUGUGCACUAAAUAAAUUUUGCGGGUAAUAUAAAAAUCCUUAAUAAAAUCGAGAUCUGAAUAUAAUUCCCAAAAGGCCCAUGAAAUUCCAAUGGAAUUUCGUAAAAUUUAAAUGAUUGGUGAGAUGAGAUCGAGAUCAAGAAACACUUUCACUACUUAUUUUUUUAAUUGUUAAAUUAAAAUUUUGACAUGAUAUGAUUAAAAUGGGUAAAAUUAAUUAUGCCAACUGAAGUCUUGAAAAAUUACUUUCAAUUGAAGUUAUUAUGAUAAUAGUCAUUCAAAAUUCAUUCUACAUUGGGCCCCAUUUUUUUAACAACUUAGGGGUCGUUCUCUUCGUGUUCCAGUUUUGUAGUUUUGAAUUCAUUUUGAGUUUUGUGUUUUAAGUGCUUGUUUUGAAAUUGUUGAAAAUAUAUUAUAUUUAUCAUUCUGAAAAACUGUUUUUGAAAACAUAAAAUUGAAAAAUGCGUUUAUUUUGAAAAUUUGAGAAUAUUUUAUUCAAGAAAUAUGAUUAUUCAAUAAAUUUUAAUAGUUUGAUGUUAAUAUAGUAUUAAAUAACAUAUAAAUUUUAAAGUUUAUAAAUCUUGAAAUAUUUUUUUACGGAUAUAAAAAACACAACCUAAAUUAAAUUUGACAACACAGUUCAAUAGAUACUAUUAGAAGUUUAUGUGUCAUGAAAAAACAAGUGGACACUAAAACAAAAUAUAAAAUACAUCCACGAAAUCAUAUACGAUAUCUUGAGUAGUCAUUUCACAUUUGUGUAGCAAUUUGAUCCCUGAUUUGUCCCAUUUGUGCCGUUUGACUAACAUAAAAAUGUAUGACUUCUUGAUCUUAACUUGAUUCCGGUGUGCCAUUUUAAAGCCCUUUUGUGGGAUUGGAUAAACAUAAUGUUUUAUUAUGUUUUGUUAAAAUGAGCGUGUACAAAUGCGUAUUCCUCUAUUUUAAUGAGCAAAGCCAACUUGAAUGAAUGAUAAAAGCUAUCUGAUACGUGCUUUCAUAUGUAGACUUGACAAUCCUCUAGAAACUAGUACCUAACAGCCCCUAUUGAAAAUUGUUCAAAGAAUAUUCUGGAUAUUAUUUCAAGACACCUAUACUAUUAGUGAUACAAAUGGAAAGUGGUCUCUAUUUUUGCCAUUCUUGUUUCUCGCAAAAACUUGUUUUUGAAAAUUAAUCAUUUUUUUGCCAAUAUGUCCUUUUUGUCCCCCUCGGAGACGGAUUCUUUUGAACCAGGUUGCUAUUGGUUUGACAUGUUAUGUUUUGUUUCAAGCUAUUAUUCAAUUAAAUCAUUCUAAACUUCCAUAUGAAUAUCUUACGGCAAAUGAUUAACAAGAGUCAUGUUGGUACACCUAAAUUAGUUUAUAUAUAAAUCAAAAAGUUUCAAUCUUCCCUAAAUCAAUUUAUGUAAAUCAGAAAGCUCUAAAUCCCUAAAUAAAAAAACCCUAAAUCAAAAAAUAUUAUGGGAAUAAGGAAUCCCUAAAUCAGAAUUUAUGGAUCUGGAAUAAAGCAUUAACACUGAAAGAAAACAAUUGAAAUCAAAUGACAAUGUUACAUACCUUCAAGAAGAAAGCAGUGACUAGAAGUUAGAGAGACGACGAACAGCAGAGGGUUCACUUCAAAGACAGCAGACCACAUAUGGUACCAUAGAUGCACCACGCACGGUAGACUGCAGACGACAGAUGUAUUCACUACUCACGCACGGCAUAGAGAGUCAAGAUGCAGACCCACGACGUAGAGAGUCAAGACUUAAGUUUGAAGAAUGGAGAAAGGUAGUUGGAAGAGAGAGAGAGAGAUGCAGUCGGAAAAGGUGAAAGGGAGUGGGAGGAGGAAGAGACGCAACCAAAACGGAAAAUUUGUAAAAAUGA